AACAGUGUGGCAAAAUGGUUUGAGCGUUGGAUGAAAACUUUGGAGACCAGGGUUCGAUUCCCUGCUCGGCCA